ACGGGAGGCAGCAGUCGGGAAUAUUGCGCAAUGGAGGAAACUCUGACGCAGUGACGCCGCGUAUAGGAAGAAGGUUUUCGGAUUGUAAACUAUUGUCGUUAGGGAAGAAAAAGGACAGUACCUAAGGAGGAAGCUCCGGCUAACUACGUGCCAGCAGCCGCGGUAAUACGUAGGGAGCGAGCGUUAUCCGGAUUUAUUGGGUGUAAAGGGUGCGUGGACGGGCUUAUAAGUUAGUUGUGAGAUCCCUCGGCUUAACUGAGGAACUGCAACUAAAACUGUAAGUCUUGAGUGCAGGAGAGGUAAGUGGAAUUCCUAGUGUAGCGGUGAAAUGCGUAGAUAUUAGGAGGAACACCAGUGGCGAAGGCGACUUACUGGACUGUAACUGACGUUGAGGCACGAAAGUGUGUGGAGCAAACAGGAUUAGAUACCCUGGUA
rnacentral:rRNA from 1 species